GCAGACUCCUGCUCCACCCCUGCUGUGCCAUCCUGCCCGCCUGGGCUCUGGUUUUGUUCAGUUUUCUAUCUGGGUGGCCAAGUACAAAAAGGAAAAAAAGUUAUGUUUGCGGACUUAUUUACUCUUUUCUGGGAAAAGAAUUGAAAAGAAGUUAGCCGGUCUCAGAAUCUAAAUGAGAAGUUUGAAACUUGGACUUGCCUCGUCAUACUGUGAGCUGUGUGACAGCUGGUGCCAUCAGCUUACCCGAAUAGUGUGGGCUGCCAGGAGGAGCAGGGCGCCCUGACGUAAAGACAGCUCUCAUUGCCGGGUUUACAAACCCCGAGUAGUGUUUCUGUUCUGGAAGUGUAAAACUGGGUUGCCCAAAUAAAUACAAUUAAUCACUAUGGGAAAGUAACAUGUUGCCCAUCAGCAAAUUAAAUGUAUUGUUUAACUAAACUUUUAAUAAAUGAACAUCGUUUUUCUUAAUUAGUAAAUGACCGAGCUUAAGAGGCUGCUUCUGCAUUAACAGCCCAGCGGUGAAGCUCAAUGACAUUGCCUUUAAAGGUAUGACCUUACCACUUCACAAGAAACAACUUUAUAAACAUACUUUAUCCAUGCUUGCACUGUGUGAGUUUUCUGCGUGUGAUUUGAGGAGACUGUAACAAUCUCCCACAAGAUCCUGAGCAGGCUUCACGGUCAGGCAGCUCUGAAAAUCAGUUCCUCAAGAAUAGCUAUCAAGCACUUGAGAAACACAAAAGUAAAUAGUGUUUGCCCCACUCUCCUGGGACUCAGCCUAAGCUGACAGAGGAAUACCAAUUUACAUGCAGAGGUCAUGAACUUUGAAAAAAAUAGAAAUUAAUAAGUUCCCUAAUUGCUCAAAAAUGUAGCUAUACUUGAAUUCAUAAAGGUGUUAAGAGACGUACCGUUAUUAAGCUAUGUAAAAUUGUCUCACUACUGGGACACAAUAACUGAUAAAGCAACUUAAUGAAAGAAUUUGUGUUAGCUCACAGUUCUAGGGUAUAGUCCAUCUUGGCAAGAAAGUUGUAACAAAAGCUUGAGGUCCUAUUACAGUCAUUUACCUUGUGCCAGGAGGAUUAACGUUCUGCCUAGGCAGAGAAUAAAAACUGCUUCUUGCCUUUCUCCACUGUAGCAUUACUGUGUUGUUGGUUAUCCU
rnacentral:lncRNA from 1 species